CAGGGAUUGCCUCAGUAACGGCGAGUGAAGCGGCAACAGCUCAAAUUUGAAAUCUGACCCCUGCGGGGCCCGAGUUGUAAUUUGUAGAGGGUGCUUCGGGCGCGGCGCCGGUCCAAGUUUCUUGGAACAGAACGUCGCAGAGGGUGAGAAUCCCGUACGCGACCGGCGACCAAGCCCGUGUGAAGCCCCUUCGACGAGUCGAGUUGUUUGGGAAUGCAGCUCAAAAUGGGUGGUAAAUUCCAUCUAAAGCUAAAUAUUGGCCAGAGACCGAUAGCGGACAAGUAGAGUGAUCGAAAGAUGAAAAGCACUUUGGAAAGAGAGUCAAACAGUACGUGAAAUUGUUGAAAGGGAAGCGCUUGCGACCAGACCGGUCCGGGGGCGAUCAGCCGCUGCUCGCCAGCGGUGCACUCGCCUCCGAUCCGGCCAGCAUCGGUUCGGGCGGCGGGAUAAAAGUCCCGGGAAUGUAGCUUCCCUCGGGGAGUCUUAUAGCCCGGGUCGCAAUGCCGCCCGCCUGGACCGAGGACCGCGCUUCGGCUAGGAUGCUGGCGUAAUGGUCGCAAGCGACCCGUCUUGAAACACGGACCAAGGAGUCUAACAUCUAUGCGAGUGUUUGGGUGUCAAACCCAGGCGCGGAAUGAAAGUGAACGGAGGUGGGAACCCGUCAGACGGCGCACCAUCGACCGAUCCUGAUGUCUUCGGAUGGAUUUGAGUAUGAGCAUAGCUGUUGGGACCCGAAAGGUGGUGAACUAUGCCCGGAUAGGGUGAAGCCAGAGGAAACUCUGGUGGAGGCUCGCAGCGGUUCUGACGUGCAAAUCGAUCGUCAAAUCUAGGCAUAGGGGCGAAAGACCAAUCGAACCAUCUAG
rnacentral:rRNA from 1 species